GAUGAACGCUGGCGGCGUGCUUAACACAUGCAAGUCGAACGAUGAAGCCCAGCUUGCUGGGUGGAUUAGUGGCGAACGGGUGAGUAACACGUGAGUAACCUGCCCUUAACUCUGGGAUAAGCCUGGGAAACUGGGUCUAAUACCGGAUAGGAGCGUCCACCGCAUGGUGGGUGUUGGAGAGAUUUAUCGGUUUUGGAUGGACUCGCGGCCUAUCAGCUUGUUGGUGAGGUAAUGGCUCACCAAGGCGACGACGGGUAGCCGGCCUGAGAGGGUGACCGGCCACACUGGGACUGAGACACGGCCCAGACUCCUACGGGAGGCAGCAGUGGGGAAUAUUGCACAAUGGGCGGAAGCCUGAUGCAGCGACGCCGCGUGAGGGAUGACGGCCUUCGGGUUGUAAACCUCUUUCAGUAGGGAAGAAGCGAAAGUGACGGUACCUGCAGAAGAAGCACCGGCUAACUACGUG
rnacentral:rRNA from 1 species